AAUAUUGGACAAUGGGGGCAACCCUGAUCCAGCCAUGCCGCGUGUGUGACGAAGGUCUUCGGAUUGUAAAGAACUUUAAGUUGGGAGGAAGGGCCUUAGGUUAAGACCCUGCAGUUUUGACGUGACCAACAGAGUAAGCACAGGAUAUCUCUGUGCCAGCAGCAGCGGUAAUACAGAGGGUGCACGCGUUAAUCGGAAUGAGUGGGCGUAAAGCGCGCGUAGGUGGUUCAGUAAUAUGGGUGUGAAAGCCCCGUGCUUAACCUGGGAACUGCUUUCAUAACUGCUGAGCUAGAGUACGGUAGAGGGUAGUGGAGUUUCCUGUGUAGCGGUGAAAUGCGUAGAUAUAGGAAGGAACACCAGUGGCGAAGGCGACUACCUGGACUGAUACUGACACUGAGGUGCGAAAGCGUGGGUAGCAAACA
rnacentral:rRNA from 1 species